rnacentral:rRNA from 1 species
UACGAAGGGGGCUAGCGUUGCUCGGAAUCACUGGGCGUAAAGCGCACGUAGGCGGAUCUUUAAGUCAGGGGUGAAAUCCUGGAGCUCAACUCCAGAACUGCCUUUGAUACUGGGGAUCUCGAGUCCGGGAGAGGUGAGUGGAACUGCGAGUGUAGAGGUGAAAUUCGUAGAUAUUCGCAAGAACACCAGUGGCGAAGGCGGCUCACUGGCCCAUAACUGACGCUGAGGCACGAAAGCGUGGGGAGCAAACAGG